UUGGUGAAUAAUCAAAAAUAAAUUUAUAUGAGUAAAACACUUCUUUCGACUGCUCUUAGUAGCUAGUUCUUCCAUACCUACUUAAUUACUGGUCUAGAUGGGGAGAAGGUUCAGCGUGUGAAUCACCAACUUGCAUGGUGGUGAUUGGCACCUGCCUCCUUUAGAUCAUGCAUAUGUGCCCAGGUAACCACUUCUCAGCACUUUCCCUUCAUUAUGUUUUUGCUGCUGUCUCUUCUAUAGUUAGAAAUUUCUCUGCAUAAUGUCUUACCAACAGUGGGCAAGCAAAUGUUAAACUAAGACGGACAUGUAAUUUUUCCUGUAUCUGGCCAGCUUCACCUCCUGAUUGGUCAGACAUUUGAGGCUGUGUUGUCUCUUUUAGACCACAGCCUUGCUGAGUUCAGGGAAUGCAUUGUUGUGCUAGCACAGUAUCUGGCACAUAGAAAGUAAUACAUUUUUUUGAAUGAAUAAAUGAACAGAAACAGGAUCUUGUAAGUGCUUAUGUAGAGUGAUUUUCUUUUGAGACAAAUUCUAUGCGUUAUUGUAUUUCAGCUGAGAUUCAGUGAAGCCUAGAGUGGAACACCCAGGGAAAAUUUCAUGAACAGUUAUGGGUUGAACUGGAGUUGAGGGAAGAGCAGAAUUUGUAUACACAGAAGGAGAGACUUGAAUUCAAAUCCUGGUUCCCCUACAUACUGACUGCAUGACCCUGGACAAUUAUCUAUCUUUUCUGAGGGGGACAAUAAAAAUAUCUAUAAGAUGUAUUUGUUGUGAGUAUUAAACAAAUACAUGAGCAUCAGCCAGUCAGAAAGGACACAGCCAGCCAUGGAACUGCAGCAGUCUUGGAGGCCCCUGUUGUGCUAACCAUUAACUCUUUAGUUGCAGAGGACAGGGUAGGGAUGGGCAGAUUUGCAGGGGCUGGGGAAACAACUCUGUUGGCUGGUGCAGAGUUGUUUACCAACAGAUAGGAAGGCAUUCAAUAUUUUAACAAAUAGUACAGCUGUAACCGGUAUCUACUGAUUGAAUACCAGUCCACUGUGGGAGCUACCAAAAUCCUUUAAUCUUGAGCUUAUUACGAGGGAAUCACAGUUUAUUAAACUGGCAGUACAGGACAAAAUUAGAGGUGUGUCCUUAAAUUCUAUGUACGUGUUAAGUAAUUCCUUUCUUUUAGUCAUGCAACAAAUAUUAAUGGAGUAUCUAUUAUGUGCUAAAUACUGGGUGGUAGAAGGACAGUAGGAUGAACAAGGCAGACUUGUUCUUGCCUUUAGAAAGCUUAAGGAUGAAGAUAAACAAUACAAAAAUCACGCAAAUAAUUUUGUAGUUUCAGUUGUGAUAAAUGUUAUGAAGGAGUCUGUGACACAGGUAAAGGAUUGAGAAAUGGAAUUACAAAAGGCUUACACUAGAAAGGAGUGAUUCAGAUGAGACCUGAUGGAUGUGAGGGUGUGAUCUAGGGAGUGUUAUAAGAAACUGGAACAACGUAUGCAAAGACCCUGAGGCGGGAAAGAGAGAAGCUUGGCAAAUAGAGAAAAUGAAAGUGUGGCCAGAUUAUGGUGAAUGAGGAAAAGAGUGAUAUAAUAAAUGGCUGGCAGGCUAAGUAUGAACCAGAUCAUGCAGUGCUUUAGAUGAGAUGGCCAUAUUAUUUAUUGUCCAAACCAGGACACUUAGGGAGCGAUAUUAAUAAUGGUUCUUGCACAGUUGGCAUGAACUGAGACUGUCCUGGGCUAACCGGAAAAUAUGAUAUCCCACUUGCAGGUGAUAUUUUGGUGGGGAGCUAUGGGAGACUUUUAAGCAAGAUUGUAUUUGUAUUUCCUUGAUCAAUAUGUGGACAGCGAAUUGGAAGGGGCCAAGAAAUUAUAUAAGAAGUAGUAAGGAGGCUAAUGCAGUAGUUCAGGUAAUAAAUGAUGUUAGCUUGGACCAGAGUGACAGGAUAAGGAGGGAAAACAUGGAAACUGAUUCAAGACAGGCAGAAGGAGAGAGGAUAGUCAGAGAGGAGACAGGGAAAAUCCUAAGUCUUCUAAUUUACUUGUUUAUUCUAUAAGUAUUUACCGGAUACCUUCUGAUUGUAUGAUCUGUUCUGGGUGAGGUGAAUCAUAAAUUAAAUUGUUCUCUGACCUUGAGCAGCUGUUUACCAUUCUGAUAGCAUACCUACAAUUGAACAAGUCACAACAACAUCCUUCCAAAGAAGUGUUGAAAGGGGAAAUUAAUGAAGAAUUUUUAGAGAAUAAAAUUUCCUAUAUGAAUGCUAAAUGAUUCUAUAAACUUCGGAAUGUUUCAUAUUAGAGAGCUAUAUAUUAUAUCUAUCUAGCUUUAUAAUAUAUUGUUUUCAUAAAGUCAGUCUCAUUAAAUUAAAAUGUGAAUUAUAACUGGUUAAGUUGAGGGAUGUAUUGAAAUAAAAUGGUAUAUAAAAAAUG